AGAGGGGUGGGGCUUAGGCUGCAAGACCAUCAAGUCUAGCUGCUUUCCCAAGCAACCCCUCUGUUUGUUUGAGACUGUGCUAAGGCAAGCAGGAGCGGAUAUGGAUUCUUUCACAACACCUGUAGGCCCCCUCACCACAACCCCUAGAUGGCUGCAUAGAAAGCAUUACUGUAGAAAUAGUUUUGAGGAGGAGGGCAGGCCCCUAGCACAAAGACUCUUUGAGGUGCCUGACCCUGUUCAGGAAGACCCAAUGAACAGGCAAAUUGAGGAGGCCCAAGCCCCCGAAGCAAACAUUGAGAAUUUGGAAAAUGGUAUCUUUGUGCCAGAGCCUGCAUGUGAAGUAGAGGUCAUCGCAGAGCAGAGUUACGUGAAGUCUUUUUAAUGACUCCAGAAAGCCUACUCACCAGUACACCCAUACAGAUGACACCAGAAAGAAGCGUAUGCUUCUGCAGAGAACAGAGACCAGAUGAGGCUGAAGAGUUCAGAAGACAAUUAGGUAUUGAAUCAUAAGAGAGCUUAUCUAGUGGGAAAGCCCCAUGCAAUUUUACCACAGCAAGAACCUCUUCUUCUAAAAUAGAAAAGCAGAACAAACACAUACAGUCAUGUUUUUAUCCAGUAGUAAAAGUGAUCACACGCACCACUCCUGAAGAAGAGCAGGGGCCAGGGCGGAGACCUCUAAAAACACAAUAAAAAAACCAUAAAUGCUCAGCCUGCAGAUCAUAACACCCAAGGAUCAGAAGACCAUCAGGACAGAACAGAAGGGCAUGGUUCCUCAGAGGAAAACACGCCACCUACCUCUGAGAAAAUCAUAUGUAAAAACACAAGGAUUCACACCCCCAAAACAGGUGAUCUGGGCCCCGUGAAUAAGAAACGCAGGACUGGUUGCUCACACAAUUUAGAGAAAGAGGAGAGUCUUCUCCUUUUUUUGAAAGAUCAUGAUUAUUGUGAAAAAAAGUGGGGUUUGGGGUGGUGCUGGCAGGUGUAUACAUCUCAAAAAAAGUGUGCGGAGUGCUUUGAAAGAUCAUGAUUACCACUGGAGCAAAAGGGUAAAUUUUACUCAGGAGGUAGUCUGUGUAACUCGGACAGCAGUCGUGGCCUGUAUCAUAAGGGGGAGUCAUGGUAAACACGAGGAUAAGAAUGGGUGGCUAACCAGCAAGUGGCUUACAGGGCAAAAAGUAAGGGCCUGGUUAAAGAGGAGCGUGGGGAAGGCUAAACACCAGUUGAGAAAAAAUAGGAGAUCCCCUAAUAAUGGCGCUUUAGAAGGCCCCUUGAAUGCUUCCCCUCCUCCCAGGCUUGACCCUCUACCAAGACCCAUGGAGCCAGAGAGAGGAUGGAGAAUAUGAUUCAGGAAGCCUUUACGAGGGCCCCUCAAAUGUUCCUCGGCCUCCCAGGCCUGACCCACCACCAAGACCUGACGAGUCAGAGAGUUGGGAUAGCGAAGCUGAUGUGGAAGGCACUUUAUAGGACCCCUCAAGCACCCCCCAGUCUCCUGAGUCAGCAGAGGAUGUUUUACUGGACGUACAUAUGGUGCGGGUGAGAAGGCAAGAGGGGUCUGUAGCCAGGUUUGGGGGGACGAGGUACACAGAGGAGUUCCGUUUUGUGAAUCUGGAGCGUGUGCCAUUACACAUGGCAUAUGAAGCCGUAGGCAGAGGGGUAGAAGAAAUUGUAGCAGAACUCCGCCAGAGAUUCACAGGCAAUGACUAUGCCCAGUUACAUAUUCAGGCAGGUAGCAGGGCAAACUGUUUAUACUCUCGAGCUAUUAAUUUAAACCAGAUGACCCCAGAGCUGUUUUUAGAGUAGUUCAGUAACCUGUUACAAAGCUAGAGAGAAAUAUUGCUUGAUUCGACAUUUCGGCUGGUUGUGGUCAUUGUGAGAGGCCAGGGUGGUGGGAGCCAUAGAGUUAUAAGCUCUAUCCCCUAUUCCCAGAUCAUUGCUAAAAAGAGGAUGUAUUUAAUCAACUUGAAUACCUAUGAUACUAACCUGUGCUUUGCAGGCAGUCUAUUGGCUGUUACAAAAUGUACAGGGGCCAGAGAUGCCGAACUGCUAGAUGGUGCCAAAGAACUGCACAGGAAAUUAGGCAUGUCUGUAUACCAAAAGGUUAUGCUCCAUCAGGUACCUUUGUUUGAAGAUCUUGAACAGGUUAAUAUUCACAUAGUGAUCCAUAAGGAAAAAAAUGGGUGGAGUUUAUUUAAAACACAGGACACGCUCAGAUACCCUGACACCUGUUUUCUUCUGCUGCAUGGUGAACAUUAUUACCUAUUUUGGAGGUGAACAAGGUGUUUGGCAUGAGAAAUUAUUGCAAUCUUUGUCAUAAGUUGUACAGCCAUAGCCAUAUGUGCAGGUUCUGAUGUUGUCUUUGCCUGAGUCCAAACUGUGCUGAAAACAUGGGCAGGACACAGAGGUGCCCUAAUUGUAAGCUGUUCUGUCAUUCCAAAGAGUGCUUAGAAAGGCACGUGACCCUGGCCUCUGAAAAGUAGAUUGAAUGUCCUAAAACUCUGUGUGAUGAGUAUAAAUCUUGCAUGAACAAAAAGCACAAGUGCAAAGGGCAGCAGUGCAAACAGUGUUAUGGGAAAAUCACGGAUGUAAACGAGCACUGGUGUUUUAUGCGCCAGAUUAAAGAGCCUGAAGAAGGCAAGGGGUACAUUUUUUAUGAGUUUGAUUGUGUGCAGGAGAUGGGGAUGCAUGUGCCCAAGGACAUUUUUGCAAUGGAGCUAAAGACGGGGAAAAAAACCCUCAAAAAGUCGCAGGCAAAAACCCCAAAAAGGCUUGUAAAGCUAAGCCCAAAAAGCCUGAAAGCACUUGGGAGUUUAAGGGUGAAGAGUGUCUGUCUGAUUUUAUUAAGGUCUUUAUGGAUAAAAAGUUCAAGGACUACACCUUCAUAGCUCACAACGCCAAAGGCUAUGAUGGUUACUUCAUUGUUAGCCAGUUAUUGAAGGAAAAAAUGGGCGUGAAACUAAUCACCCAGGGCAGUAAACUCAUGUGCAUUGAAGUGACCAGGCUAGGCAUCCAUUUCAUAGAUUCUUCAAACUUCUUGCCAAUUAAACUUAGCAGGCUUCCACAGGUGAUGGGGUUUGAAGGAUGCAAAGGUUAUUUCCCACAUUUUUUAACACGGCAGAAAACCAACAUUAUGUGGGGUCUUUCCCAAAUUGGAGUACUACAGCAUUGAAAAUAUGAUGAGAAAGAACAGUUUUUAAAAUGGUAUCAGGAUAACCGUGGUAAGAUCUUUGACAUGCAAAAGGAGCUGGCCUAUUAUUGCCAGCAGGACAAAAAUUUUGAACGAGGCCUGCUGCCUCUACAGGGAUGAGAUCAUGAAAAUGCCAUGGUGGGUAGACUGAGUGAAAGUACAUGGUGAACUCCAAAAUGUAGUAUGCUGCAUAGAUCCUUUCCAAUACAUCACGCUGGCCUCUGUCUGCAUGGCCAUGUACAGGUUUAUGUUUUUGGAACCGCAGACCAUAGCACUUUUCCCCCUAGACAACUAUCACAGACAGAAAAAGAGGUUUUCAACCCCAUCUAUCCAGUGGCUAACGUACAUUUCAGAGAAAGAAAAUAUUCAAACUCAACAAGCCUCACAGGGUGGGGAAUUUCAGGUAGGCUCCUAUUUUUUAGACAGGUAUGCCAACAUUGAUGGGGAACCUACGGCAUUUGAAUUUAAUGGAUUUUUUUUCACAGUUGUGUCACUUGCGACAAAGAGAAAGACCAGAACCCAUUGACAGGGACCACCUUCGGGUUUCUGAAUUACCAGGCACUGAACAAGACCGAUUAUCUCAAGAGAGAGGGGUUUACCGUUAGGACCAUUUGGGAGCACGAGUGAAGGGCUCUGUUAGAAAUGGAUAAGGAGCUGGCAGAUUUUUGAAGCAGAACCCUGCUGCCUUCUCCAAUGGUGCCUAGGGAAGCUCUUUUUGGGGGGAGAACUAAUGCCAUCUGUCUAUAUUAUCAAACUAAACCCAGAGAACAAAUACACUAUUACGAUGUUACCAGUCUUUACCCCUUCAUAAACAAAAUGAAGGAAUACCCAAUCGGACACCCUGAAAUCAUUCAUGACAAUUUCCAACCCCUGUUGAGCUAUUUUGGAACAGCCAGGGUGAAACUGUACCCACCGCGAAACCUUUUUUUCCCUGUGCUACCCACCAGGGUGAACAGGAAACUUAUGUUCGCGCUGUGCCGCCUCUGUGUGGAAACAAGACAGCAAAAGUGCGACCACACUGCUGAAGAGAGGGCCCGCCUAGGCACGUGGUGCACACCAGAAUUGAAUAAAGCUAUCACCAAGGGGUACAGAGUAGCUCAAAUCUAUGAAGUCUGGCAUUUUGCUGAGAGGUCUAGCACCCUUUUUUCAUGGUACAUAAAAAUGCACCUCUGACAGAAGCAGGAAGCCUCGGGCUACCCUGCCUGGUGUACCGACCAAGAAAAACAAGAGAUACAUGGCCAAUUUCUUGCAAAAAGAAGGCGUGACCUUAUGCCCAGAGCAUAUCAAACCCAACCUUCAAAGCACGAAAUAGCAAGAUUGUUUCUAAAUUCUUUGUGGGGUAAAUUCAGUCAUAGAACCAACUUGCCCAACACCAGCAUCGUUAGAGACCCCGAAGGACUCUUUGGCUAUCCCUUUUCUCCCGUCUAUGAAAUUUCAUCUUGCGACUUUAUUGAUGAUGAGGCAGCCUGCGUGUCUCAGAAGCACACCAAAGAGCGUGACAUGCUCUCGGGUAACACAAACAUCUUUAUAGCCUGUUUCACCAUUGUUUAUGCAUGCUUAGAGUUGAGAAAAAUGCAGAAAGUUGCUUAUGACAAAAGAGUCCUCACAGAAAACUUUAACAGUCUCCCCUAUGGUGUUUAAACAUGGAUCUGUGCUGGAAGCAUCCCUUUUCUGUGAUUUUGGCAGGCCCUAGCAACUGUGGUAAAAGUUACUUAAAAAAAACCUUCUGGAUCACGCUGAUCGAAUGUUGUCUGUUAUGCCUGAAAAUACUGUGUGGUGCUAUAGCUGUUGGCAGCCUUUGUAUAAAGAACUGCUUUGUAAAUAUCCUUUUAUCAAGUUUGUGGAGGGUCUACUGGACAGUCUCAACGACGACUGUUUGCUUCCUCCUAAUAAAAUAAAUACGGAUGUGGUAGAUGA